rnacentral:rRNA from 1 species
ACGCUCGACACCUACGGAGGCAGCAGUAGGGAAUCUUCCACAAUGGACGCAAGUCUGAUGGAGCAACGCCGCGUGAGUGAAGAAGGUCUUCGGAUCGUAAAACUCUGUUGUUAGAGAAGAACACGAGUGAGAGUAACUGUUCAUUCGAUGACGGUAUCUAACCAUCAAGUCACGGCUACCUACGUGUCAGCAGCCGCGGUAAUCUGAGCGGGCUGGCAAGGC